UUAUACCUUACAUGAAGUAAGAUUCGAUCCUAACUGGGAGGAGGCGUUGCAAUUUCGAAAUAUUGGACAUCGAUAUGAGUGUGUCUUGAACAAUCGCACUAGGGUUGAGCCGUAUACCAUGCCUAUUCAGUUUCCGCUCUACCCAAAGCACCUUAUGUCAUUCCCUGAGGUGUAUCGCCGUCCUAAUAAGACUUUUGUAGAUAUAGCUGGAGUAGUUGUGCAUUGGGCAGCAAUUGAGCACAUUGGUUGUAGCCUCUAUAGAGAGGUCACACUCAUGGACACAAGGUGCAACUUGAUUGUUGUUGGGGUUUGGUCCCACCAUUUGACCCGACAUGCGCGUAGCUGGUCAUUGGCUAAUGCUAACAAUGACAUAGUCUUGUUAACUAUGCUUCAAAAUAACAGGAGACACGGUAAUUGGUUUCUUAUUAAUCAAGGCAUACUUAACCAUUAUACUUGUUAAGUUACUUCAUUAACAACAAAUUUUGAAAUCAGGGUGCUUGGAGACUUCAGAACAUACAACUUUUAAAUUCAACCCAAGUCAUUGCGCUACACGUGCACUGCAGAACGUGCGCGGAUCGGUGAUCACAGGAUCUAUGGAUCUCCGUUUUGUUAACAGAUUUCUUGAGAAUAGAUGGGCGUACCUAGCAACCGUGGUUUGAGUGUGAUGGCUACAAGUACUAA